AAAUAAAUUUGUGAAUUGUCAAGAAAAACAAAAUUUGGGAAAGAGGAGGACAAGGACAACUGCGACAAACGCACAACAAAGAAUUACCUCGAGAGGGCGAGAAUGCCUUUGCGGGAUGCUAUCGAUCCCCUAACGCUGCCUCAAAAUGACUAAGCGAGUUGUUUCUAGUACUUGCAAACGACAUAUAAAUACAUGUUAUAUUGCUGUACAUAAAUUUAAGCAGAGGUCCGACGUUUUCAAUACUACGUACUAAGAAAAAUUGGUAUGAGUGAGGUGUGAGUACAUAUACGGCGAAGGCGUUGCGCUUAGUUUCACAGUAAUUGGAUUUAGAACCAUACCAUAAGCGUUGCAUAAAGCACAUUAUCAAGUGUUGUGUUACAGGUGUUUCAAAGAUUGGAAACAAAGCAUUGUGUGGUGUGGAUACAAUGGACCGUGCUCAAAUCGAUUUAAAAUUUGAUGCUCAUCAUACAUAUCAACAUGUAUGCUUUCUGGGAUGUCGGAAGCUUCCUCUGCUCUCAAAGCACUGCAUAGGCCUUAACAAACGUGGCUAGAUUUCCUAAAUGAGUUAUGCGGAAUUCUAUCGUUUCAUUGAACUAUGUCCAGAUGGCAUGAGAUUAAAUCGAGAUGGCAUGAGAUUAAGCGAAAUUGCGAUAAUAACAUCGUAUGUAAAAACAAAAAUUUUGAUUAAAAGCAACUGCAUAAAAUCUGGACGAUCAA